AUUUAAUACACGAUGAGAAUAAAGAUACAAUAAUUAAAUUGUGUAAAUUAAUUGAAAAUAAAAUUCUGAUUCGUAAUUCCGAAAGUGUAUAAAAAUAAAAGGAAACAAUUUUUGAUUACUUUCUUAGCGGCAAUUGGCGUGAAGAUUCAAAUAUGAAGCAAAAAAUAGUAGUUUUAAUCUUUAAUAAAAACUAAAUGCAAUAUUACCCAAUUUGAUAUACCAUUGUACAUCUGUUUGAUAUCUUGUACAGAUAAACGACAGAAUUACCAUACAAGCAUUUAUAGUCAACACAAUCAGAAAGAGUUCCCAUCGUUAGACGGGGAAUAUGAAGGCUUCCAAGAAUGAACAAGUGACAUUUCUAACUCUGAACAGUU
rnacentral:lncRNA from 1 species